GACAGAGGGUGCAAGCGUUAAUCGGAAUUACUGGGCGUAAAGGGCUCGUAGGCGGUUGAUUAAGUCGGAUGUGAAAUCCCUGGGCUUAACCUAAGGAAGGUCAUUCGAGACUGAUCAGCUAAGAGUUGGAUAGAGGAAGCGGAAUUUCCGGUGUAGCGGUGAAAUGCGUAGAUAUCGGAAGGAACACCAGUGGCGAAGGCGCUUUCUGGAUCCAAACUGACGCUAAGGAGCGAAAGCGUGGGUAGCAAACAGG
rnacentral:rRNA from 1 species